UACGUAGGGGCCUAGCGUUGUCCGGAUUUAUUGGGCGUAAAGCGCGCGCAGGCGGUCUACCAAGUUCGGAGUGACAGUUUCCGGCUUAACCGGAAAAGGUCUUCGAAAACUGGUGGACUUGAGGACUUGAGGGGGAGACGGAAUUCCGGGUGGAGCGGUGAAAUGCGUAGAGAUCCGGAGGAACACCGAAAGCGAAGGCAGUCUCCUGGCAAGUUUCUGACGCUCAGGUGCGAAAGCUAGGGGAGCGAACAGG
rnacentral:rRNA from 1 species